rnacentral:rRNA from 1 species
UACGAAGGGGGCUAGCGUUGUUCGGAAUUACUGGGCGUAAAGCGUGCGCAGGCGGCUUCUCAAGUCAGGGGUGAAAGCCCAGAGCUCAACUCUGGAAUUGCCUUUGAGACUGAGUGGCUUGAGUACGAGAGAGGUGAGUGGAAUUCCCAGUGUAGAGGUGAAAUUCGUAUGAUAGUUCGGCGAACACCAGUGGCGAAGGCGACUCACUGGCCCGAUACUGACGCUGAGGCGCGAAAGCGUGGGGAGCAAACAGG